rnacentral:rRNA from 1 species
GGUUAAGCGACUAAGCGUACACGGUGGAUGCCCUGGCAGUCAGAGGCGAUGAAGGACGUGCUAAUCUGCGAAAAGCGUCGGUAAGGUGAUAUGAACCGUUACAGCCGGCGAUGUCCGAAUGGGGAAACCCAGUGCAAUUCGUUGCACUAUCGUUAACUGAAUACAUAGGUUAACGAGGCGAACCGGGGGAACUGAAACAUCUAAGUACCCCGAGGAAAAGAAAUCAACCGAGAUUCCCCCAGUAGCGGCGAGCGAACGGGGAGCAGCCCGGAGUCUGAAUCAGCUUGUGUGUUAGUGGAAGCGUCUGGAAAGUCGCAGGGUACAGGGUGAUACUCCCGUACACUAAAACGCACAGGUUGUGAACUCGAAGAGUAGGGCGGGACACGUGGUAUCCUGUCUGAAUAUGGGGGGACCAUCCUCCAAGGCUAAAUACUCCUGACUGACCGAUAGUGAACCAGUACCGUGAGGGAAAGGCGAAAAGAACCCCGGCGAGGGGAGUGAAAAAGAACCUGAAACCGUGUACGUACAAGCAGUAGGAGCCCACUAGUUGGGUGACUGCGUACCUUUUGUAUAAUGGGUCAGCGACUUAUAUUCUGUAGCAAGGUUAACCGUAUAGGGGAGCCGCAGGGAAACCGAGUCUUAACUGGGCGUUAAGUUGCAGGGUAUAGACCCGAAACCCGGUGAUCUAGCCAUGGGCAGGUUGAAGGUUGGGUAACACUAACUGGAGGACCGAACCGACUAAUGUUGAAAAAUUAGCGGAUGACUUGUGGCUGGGGGUGAAAGGCCAAUCAAACCGGGAGAUAGCUGGUUCUCCCCGAAAGCUAUUUAGGUAGCGCCUCGUGAAUUCAUCUUCGGGGGUAGAGCACUGUUUCGGCUAGGGGGUCAUCCCGACUUACCAACCCGAUGCAAACUACGAAUACCGAAGAAUGUUAUCACGGGAGACACACGGCGGGUGCUAACGUCCGUCGUGAAGAGGGAAACAACCCAGACCGCCAGCUAAGGUCCCAAAGUCAUGGUUAAGUGGGAAACGAUGUGGGAAGGCCCAGACAGCCAGGAUGUUGGCUUAGAAGCAGCCAUCAUUUAAAGAAAGCGUAAUAGCUCACUGGUCGAGUCGGCCUGCGCGGAAGAUGUAACGGGGCUAAACCAUGCACCGAAGCUGCGGCAGCGACACUAUGUGUUGUUGGGUAGGGGAGCGUUCUGUAAGCCGUUGAAGGUGGCCUGUGAGGGUUGCUGGAGGUAUCAGAAGUGCGAAUGCUGACAUAAGUAACGAUAAUGCGGGUGAAAAACCCGCACGCCGGAAGACCAAGGGUUCCUGUCCAACGUUAAUCGGGGCAGGGUGAGUCGACCCCUAAGGCGAGGCCGAAAGGCGUAGUCGAUGGGAAACAGGUUAAUAUUCCUGUACUUGGUGUUACUGCGAAGGGGGGACGGAGAAGGCUAUGUUGGCCGGGCGACGGUUGUCCCGGUUUAAGCAUGUAGGCGGAUGUUCCAGGUAAAUCCGGAGCGUCACUAACGCUGAGGUGUGAUGACGAGGCACUACGGUGCUGAAGUGACAAAUGCCCUGCUUCCAGGAAAAGCCUCUAAGCAUCAGGUAACAUCAAAUCGUACCCCAAACCGACACAGGUGGUCAGGUAGAGAAUACCAAGGCGCUUGAGAGAACUCGGGUGAAGGAACUAGGCAAAAUGGUGCCGUAACUUCGGGAGAAGGCACGCUGAUGGUAGGUGAAGUGACUUGCUCAUGGAGCUGAAAUCAGUCGAAGAUACCAGCUGGCUGCAACUGUUUAUUAAAAACACAGCACUGUGCAAACACGAAAGUGGACGUAUACGGUGUGACGCCUGCCCGGUGCCGGAAGGUUAAUUGAUGGGGUUAUCCUCGCGGAGAAGCUCUUGAUCGAAGCCCCGGUAAACGGCGGCCGUAACUAUAACGGUCCUAAGGUAGCGAAAUUCCUUGUCGGGUAAGUUCCGACCUGCACGAAUGGCGUAAUGAUGGCCAGGCUGUCUCCACCCGAGACUCAGUGAAAUUGAACUCGCUGUGAAGAUGCAGUGUACCCGCGGCAAGACGGAAAGACCCCGUGAACCUUUACUAUAGCUUGACACUGAACACUGGUCCUUGAUGUGUAGGAUAGGUGGGAGGCUUUGAAGUGUGGACGCCAGUCUGCAUGGAGCCAUCCUUGAAAUACCACCCUUUAAUGGCUGGUGUUCUAACGUGGGCCCCUAAUCGGGGUUGCGGACAGUGUCUGGUGGGUAGUUUGACUGGGGCGGUCUCCUCCUAAAGAGUAACGGAGGAGCACGAAGGUCAGCUAAUCCUGGUCGGACAUCAGGAGGUUAGUGCAAUGGCAUAAGCUGGCUUGACUGCGAGCGUGACGGCGCGAGCAGGUGCGAAAGCAGGUCAUAGUGAUCCGGUGGUUCUGAAUGGAAGGGCCAUCGCUCAACGGAUAAAAGGUACUCCGGGGAUAACAGGCUGAUACCGCCCAAGAGUUCAUAUCGACGGCGGUGUUUGGCACCUCGAUGUCGGCUCAUCACAUCCUGGGGCUGAAGUAGGUCCCAAGGGUAUGGCUGUUCGCCAUUUAAAGUGGUACGCGAGCUGGGUUUAGAACGUCGUGAGACAGUUCGGUCCCUAUCUGCCGUGGGCGCUGGAGAAUUGAGGGGGGCUGCUCCUAGUACGAGAGGACCGGAGUGGACGCAUCACUGGUGUUCGGGUUGUCAUGCCAAUGGCAUUGCCCGGUAGCUAAAUGCGGAAGAGAUAAGUGCUGAAAGCAUCUAAGCACGAAACUUGCCCCGAGAUGAGUUCUCCCUGACUCCUUGAGAGUCCUGAAGGAACGUUGAAGACGACGACGUUGAUAGGCCGGGUGUGUAAGCGCAGCGAUGCGUUGAGCUAACCGGUACUAAUGAACCGUGAGGCUUAACCUU